GCAAGUUCAGUGGUUGAAACCUUUGUAACAGAUUUGUAUAAUGGGGUCCGUCAUUUAUUGACGGAUUUUUCGGGAUUUAGAAUUGGGAGAAAAAGAUUGAAAUGACUGUUCAAAAUUUCACCUAUACCUUUGAGAUUUUUCAAAAAUGGAUUUUCGGACAAAAACACCCUUACAAAACAAAACUCCUAAAUAGUUUUUUCUUUUUUUUAAUACAGAUAAAUGAGAAGCAAAGAAAAAACACCCAAAUUCUCGUUCUCUUCUCACAUCUCCUUCACACUAUCCGAUUGUUGCUUCUUCUUCUCACAUCGUUUCCUUUGCAAUAUCAUCAUCUGAUCAUACAUCAUCGUUGUCCAAUUUCAAGCCACUCAAGAAACAAUCGCGAACCUUUGUUGUCAGAUCAAAAGCAACCCAGAGGUAAUCUCACACCAUCGUCGUCCUUAUCAUCACUCCGACCCAGAUGUAAUCACCCACUUUGUUCCUCAUUGUUUUGCAGUGAGACAGAUGGAAAAUUGUUAGAGUCAGAGAUGUAGUGGAAGCCAUAUCCACCACAGAGUACUUGAAAUUCAAAGAAUUGCUAUAUGAUGAUAAUGGGCAAGAGAUGAAAAUGCAUUGGAGGUGGAUUUUGCAGCAAUUGAACCCGUUGUUCCUCACUUAACCCUGUCAUCUUCAAUAGGAAAUGGACUCAGUUUUGUUUCAAAGUUCAUAAUUUUCAAGUUGAGUGGAAGAUUGGAAAAUACACAGCCUCUUGUGGAUUACUUAUUAUCACUAAGUCAUCAAAGAGAGUGAUAAACGAAACCCUCAACACACCAUCUAAGCUAAAGUUUUUCUAGCAGCUCUUGCCAAAGAUACUCCAUACCAAAAUUUUGAUUUAAGAUUUAAGGAGUGGGGAUUUGAGAAAGGAGGGGGAAGUACUGCAGAAAGAGUUAAAGAAACAAUAAGAUCUCUCUCUGAAGUACUACAAGCACCUGAUACUUUCAACAUGGAGAACUUCUUCAGCAGAGUUCCAACAAUCUUCAACAUUAAGAAAUAGAUUGUCUAUCAAUUAUAUCAAAGCAUGUUAUUAUUAUUAUCUGUUAUUAAGAAAUAGCCACUAGCCCUUUGAAAUCAUGCAAGCUAAAUGUUAUAAUGCAUUUUUGUUCAUAAAUGUUAAAAGGGUUUAUCUAGAAUCUCCUAGUUUGCCAAGGUCAUUUUACAUGAAAGCCCUUGCCCAUUUCUUGUCAUUAUAUUUGUAAUAAUUGUGGUAUUACCUUGGCUUCCAUUUGUCCACCUUGGAAUUUGUUGGCAACUAACAAUAUGUCUGCAUUUUUUUUUCCCUUGAUUUUUAAAUUUUUAUUUUUUCUUGCGGAGGGGUUGGAUCUAUGGAGGGGUGGAUCUUGUAAAUUCCAUAGAUAAGUUUAUCUAUGCAUUGGCAAAAAAUUGCCCCUAGCAAACUAAUGGGUAAAGUCAUUUAACACUUACAUAUUUGUUGAAUAAAUUUUAACUAUUAAAUAUGAUUGUAAUUAUGUUAUUGUUUUGUUGUAAUAAUAAAUAUUUUACA